rnacentral:piRNA from 1 species
UNCAACGCUGGCAGUAAACCACUAAGUUG